GGGGGUGAAAGGCCAAUCAAACCGGGAGAUAGCUGGUUCUCCCCGAAAGCUAUUUAGGUAGCGCCUCGUGAACUCAUCUCCGGGGGUAGAGCACUGUUUCGGCUAGGGGGCCAUCCCGGCUUACCAACCCGAUGCAAACUGCGAAUACCGGAGAAUGUUAUCACGGGAGACACACGGCGGGUGCUAACGUCCGUCGUGAAGAGGGAAACAACCCAGACCGCCAGCUAAGGUCCCAAAGUCAUGGUUAAGUGGGAAACGAUGUGGGAAGGCCCAGACAGCCAGGAUGUUGGCUUAGAAGCAGCCAUCAUUUAAAGAAAGCGUAAUAGCUCACUGGUCGAGUCGGCCUGCGCGGAAGAUGUAACGGGGCUAAACCAU
rnacentral:rRNA from 1 species